GAAUAAAAUCGUUAAAGAAAGAUCCAUAGAACCAUGUUUAAUGGAAAGUAAUCUGUAUUUUUUAAACACAGGACAAUUAUCUAGCAAAUUAUAUAAGGACAAAAAAAAAAACAACCAAACCCAAAACUUUAUUUGCAUUGACUGAUGUUUAGAAGCCAAUAACAUUAUAAAUAGCACAUUACUUGCAAUUCAUACCUUAAAUGGACACGAUAGUCACCAGAAUCACUUCAGCUUAAUGUAUGGCUUCUGGUAUCUAUAGCCUGUCUCUGUAGGCAUUUCAAUGUAAACACUGUCUUUUCAGUUAAAAGACAGUGUUUACAUUGGUGCCUAAUAACACCUCUAGUGGCAGUCACUCAGCUGGCAACUAGACGUGCUUCCUAGUACAGGAAAUACUGAUUGGUGCUGCAUUGUGUUUUGCUGUGCAUGCGCAAUAGCCUCCCAAUGCUUUCCUCUGGGAAAGCAUUGUAUUGGCUGAGAUUAUCAGGAUUAAUGAUCUCAGCUAUGGAGGCAUAGUCAAAUGGAACCAGCUGAGGCAUGGGAGAAAAGGUAAGUCAAAUCAGCUUUUCAAAAGGAGGCACCUAAACAGCCAUACCAGGACUAUACUGUGAGGAAAACAUGUUUGUAUUCCUGACACUAUCGUGUUCCUUUAAUGGAAUAAUGAGAGCCAUAUAUUCUUUUGUGAUUAUAGUGUAUCACCCAUCUUGCAUCAUUCUGUCAGUUAUAGAUAUACAGAAUUUAUUUUGAUGAGCUUUGCCUGACGGAAAAAAUACAUAUCUGCAUAACUAACGCUACUGCGAUGACUCCCCUAAUCAAUAUCUUCC